GAUGAACGCUGGCGGCGUGCUUAACACAUGCAAGUCGAGCGAAGCAGUUAAGAAGAUUCUUCGGAUGAAACUUGAUUGACUGAGCGGCGGACGGGUGAGUAACGCGUGGGUGACCUGCCCCAUACCGGGGGAUAACAGCUGGAAACGGCUGCUAAUACCGCAUAAGCGCACAGAGCUGCAUGGCUCAGUGUGAAAAACUCCGGUGGUAUGGGAUGGGCCCGCGUCUGAUUAGGCAGUUGGCGGGGUAACGGCCCACCAAACCGACGAUCAGUAGCCGGCCUGAGAGGGCGACCGGCCACAUUGGGACUGAGACACGGCCCAAACUCCUACGGGAGGCAGCAGUGGGGAAUAUUGCACAAUGGGGGAAACCCUGAUGCAGCGACGCCGCGUGAGCGAAGAAGUAUUUCGGUAUGUAAAGCUCUAUCAGCAGGGAAGAUAAUGACGGUAC
rnacentral:rRNA from 1 species